UCCCUCUUAGCUCAGCUGGUAGAGCGCGUCACUAGUAUUCUUGUUGGUUUACUCAUGACGAGGUCAGUCGUUCAAGUCGGCUAGAGGGAA